ensembl:misc_RNA Metazoa_SRP Metazoan signal recognition particle RNA
GCCGGGUGUGGUGGCGCGCGCCUGUAAUCCAAGUGUCAUGGAGGCUGAGGCUGGAGGAUGGUUGGAGCUCAGGAGCUCUGAGCUGCAGUGGACUAUGCUGAUCGGGGGUCCGCACUCACUUCCGUAUCGAUAUGGUCUUUCUGGGGGAGCCCGGGACAACCAGGUCGUCUAAGGACGGGUGAAUCGGCCCAGGUCGGAAACGGAGCAGGUCAAAGCCCGCGUGCCGCUCGCUUGUGGGAUCGCCCCUGAGAGUAGACGCUGCAGCACAGCCUGAGUAACACACGAGAGACCCAGUCUUUU